CCCCUAGAUGUUCUGGGCCGCACGCGCGCUACACUGAACAGUUCAACAAGUCUUAACCUUGGCCGAUAGGUCUGGGUAAUCUUUGAACGCUGUUCGUGAUUGGGAUAGACCUUUGCAAUUAUGGGUCUUCAACGAGGAAUUCCUAGUAAACGCAAGUCAUCAGCUUGCAUUGAUUACGUCCCUGCCCUUUGUACACACCGCCCGUCGCACCUACCGAUUGAAUGGUCCGGUGAAGCCUCGGGAUUGCGAAUGCUUCGUGCGGACGCGAGAACUUGGCUAAACCUUACCAUUUAGAGGAAGGUGAANUCGUAACA
rnacentral:rRNA from 1 species